rnacentral:rRNA from 1 species
UACGUAGGGGGCUAGCGUUGUCCGGAAUCAUUGGGCGUAAAGAGCGUGUAGGCGGCCCGGUAAGUCCGCUGUGAAAGUCGGGGGCUCAACCCUCGAAUGCCGGUGGAUACUGUCGGGCUAGAGUGCGGAAGAGGCGAGUGGAAUUCCUGGUGUAGCGGUGAAAUGCGCAGAUAUCGAGAGGAACACCUGCGGCGAAGGCGGGUUGCUGGGCCGACACUGACGCUGAUGCGGCGAAAGCCAGGGGAGCGAACGGG